GACGAACGCUGGCGGCGUGCCUAAUACAUGCAAGUAGAACGCUGAAGGAGGAGCUUGCUUCUCCGGAUGAGUUGCGAACGGGUGAGUAACGCGUAGGUAACCUGCCUGGUAGUGGGGGAUAACUAUUGGAAACGAUAGCUAAUACCGCAUAAGAGUAGAUGUUGCAUGACAUUUGCUUAAAAGGUGCAAUUGCAUCACUACCAGAUGGACCUGCGUUGUAUUAGCUAGUUGGUGGGGUAACGGCUCACCAAGGCGACGAUACAUAGCCGACCUGAGAGGGUGAUCGGCCACACUGGGACUGAGACACGGCCCAGACUCCUACGGGAGGCAGCAGUAGGGAAUCUUCGGCAAUGGACGGAAGUCUGACCGAGCAACGCCGCGUGAGUGAAGAAGGUUUUCGGAUCGUAAAGCUCUGUUGUAAGAGAAGAACGAGUGUGAGAGUGGAAAGUUCACACUGUGACGGUAUCUUACCAGAAAGGGACGGCUAACUACGUGCCAGCAGCCGCGGUAAUACGUAGGUCCCGAGCGUUGUCCGGAUUUACUGGGCGUAAAGCGAGCGCAGGCGGUUAGAUAAGUCUGAAGUUAAAGGCUGUGGCUUAACCAUAGUACGCUUUGGAAACUGUUUAACUUGAGUGCAAGAGGGGAGAGUGGAAUUCCAUGUGUAGCGGUGAAAUGCGUAGAUAUAUGGAGGAACACCGGUGGCGACAGCGGCUCUCUGGCUUGUAACUGACGCUGAGGCUCGAAAGCGUGGGGAGCAAACAGG
rnacentral:rRNA from 1 species